AGAUUGCUCGCGAAGAAAACAGAUUUAUUCUGACCUGUGGCUUACCCUACCAGACGCUGCGUUCUCAGGUGGGGGAAGACCGCUGCCUCUCUCUGAAUUGCUCCGAGAAGGCUAAGGAUCAGGCAGUUACUGUGCUGAAACACUUCAAUGUGCACGUCACUCCUAAAGACAUCUUCAGCCGCUGUCAGAUUCUAGGGUGGACCCAGUGGAUUGGAAGAUAGCAAAUGUAACACCA